rnacentral:snRNA from 14 species
UUACUGACCUGGCAGGGGAGAUUCCUUUCUUCCCAGCCUUAAAUCACUUUGUGUAUUUGAAGGUGGAGACCUGUCCAUUGCACUGAGGUUAGGCACCCCUAUGAGAGUCUGCUUUAGCUCCCCAAUGGGAGGAUCUUGGCUGCACAAUUUAUGGUGAUGGGGGAUUGCUCUUGGGCUCUCCAUCU